UACGGAGGAUCCAAGCGUUAUCCGGAAUCAUUGGGUUUAAAGGGUACGUAGGCGGGAUGAUAAGUCAGUGGUGAAAGUCUGCAGCUCAACUGUAGAACUGCCAUUGAUACUGUUGUACUUGAGUCAUUAUGAAGUAGUUAGAAUAUGUAGUGUAGCGGUGAAAUGCAUAGAUAUUAGAGAGAAUACCGAUUGCGAAGGCAGAUCACUAAUAAUGUACUGACGCUGAUGGACGAAAGCGUAGGUAGCGAUCAGG
rnacentral:misc_RNA from 1 species